AGUAGUUUGUACUCCGUCGGCUACAGGACGAACGCUGGCGGCGUGCUUAACACACUGCAAGUCGAACGGAGCACCCCUGAAGGAGUUUUCGGACAACGGAAGGGAAUGCUUAGUGGCGGACUGGUGAGUAACGCGUGAGGAACCUGCCUUUCGAGGGGGACAACAGUUGGAAACGACUGCUAAUACCGCAUGAUACAUUGGGGUCGCAUGGCUCUGAUGUCAAAGAUUUAUCGCCGAAAGAUGGCCUCGCGUCUGAUUAGCUAGUUGUGGGGUAACGGCCCACCAAGGCGACGAUCAGUAGCCGGACUGAGAGGUUGGCCGGCCACAUUGGGACUGAGAUACGGCCCAGACUCCUACGGGAGGCAGCAGUGGGGAAUAUUGGGCAAUGGACGCAGGUCUGACCCAGCAACGCCGCGUGAAGGAAGAAGGCUUUCGGGUUGUAAACUUCUUUUAAGGGGGAAGAGCAGAAGACGGUACCCCUUGAAUAAGCCACGGCUAACUACGUG
rnacentral:rRNA from 1 species